rnacentral:rRNA from 1 species
GACGAACGCUGGCGGCGUGCUUAACACAUGCAAGUCGAACGGAAAGGCCCUGCUUUUGUGGGGUGCUCGAGUGGCGAACGGGUGAGUAACACGUGAGUAACCUGCCCUUGACUUUGGGAUAACUUCAGGAAACUGGGGCUAAUACCGGAUAGGAGCUCCUGCUGCAUGGUGGGGGUUGGAAAGUUUCGGCGGUUGGGGAUGGACUCGCGGCUUAUCAGCUUGUUGGUGGGGUAGUGGCUUACCAAGGCUUUGACGGGUAGCCGGCCUGGGAGGGUGACCGGCCACAUUGGGACUGAGAUACGGCCCAGACUCCUACGGGAGGCAGCAGGGGGGAAUAUUGCACAAUGGGCGGAAGCCUGAUGCAGCAACGCCGCGUGCGGGAUGACGUCCUUCGGGUUGUAAACCGCUUUCGCCUGUGACGAAGCGUGAGUGACGGUAAUGGGUAAAGAAGCACCGGCUAACUACGUG